rnacentral:rRNA from 1 species
CGGCAACAGCUCAAAUUUGAAAUCUGGCGCAAGCCCGAGUUGUAAUUUGUAGAGGAUGUUUUGGGUACCGCCCCGGUCUAAAUUUCUUGGAACAGAAUGUCAAAGAGGGUGAGAAUCCCGUCUUGGACCGGCGGUAGGGCCUGUGUAAAACUCCUUCGAC